rnacentral:rRNA from 1 species
AGAGUUUGAUCCUGGCUCAGAACGAACGCUGGCGGCAGGCUUAACACAUGCAAGUCGAACGCCCCGCAAGGGGAGUGGCAGACGGGUGAGUAACGCGUGGGAAUCUACCCAUCUCUGCGGAAUAGCUCUGGGAAACUGGAAUUAAUACCGCAUACGCCCUACGGGGGAAAGAUUUAUCGGGGAUGGAUGAGCCCGCGUUGGAUUAGCUAGUUGGUGGGGUAAAGGCCUACCAAGGCGACGAUCCAUAGCUGGUCUGAGAGGAUGAUCAGCCACAUUGGGACUGAGACACGGCCCAAACUCCUACGGGAGGCAGCAGUGGGGAAUAUUGGACAAUGGGCGCAAGCCUGAUCCAGCCAUGCCGCGUGAGUGAUGAAGGCCUUAGGGUUGUAAAGCUCUUUCACCGGUGAAGAUAAUGACGGUAACCGGAGAAGAAGCCCCGGCUAACUUCGUGCCAGCAGCCGCGGUAAUACGAAGGGGGCUAGCGUUGUUCGGAAUUACUGGGCGUAAAGCGCACGUAGGCGGAUAUUUAAGUCAGGGGUGAAAUCCCAGAGCUCAACUCUGGAACUGCCUUUGAUACUGGGUAUCUUGAGUAUGGAAGAGGUAAGUGGAAUUGCGAGUGUAGAGGUGAAAUUCGUAGAUNUUCGCAGGAACACCAGUGGCGAAGGCGGCUUACUGGUCCAUUACUGACGCUGAGGUGCGAAAGCGUGG